AGUGGGCGAGUGAGUGGAAGGCUCGCGGGGCUCUCGGCUCCCCUCGCUGAAGUUGCACGUCAGGGCGGGCCGCAGUGAUGAUCGGGUGCCGCGGAGGAUGAGGGCGGGAGAGAUUGGGGCGGAACACUCCCUGGCUGCUGGAGGGGAGAGGGUCCUGACUCGAGGAUUAAAGGCUGUGCCCUAUGGCCCUUGAUUGUUCUGGACACGGCCUUGAACCCUGAGAGCUUGAAGAGAGCUCUCGUGCAACUUGAAAUUGAAUAGCAAGCGGCUGUGCAGAGGGCUAAAGGUAGCCCAGGAAUUAGGCUCUAGACGUGUAACAGCUCAGUCUCUCCACUGCCCUGUAGUUCCAGUCCGUUCGUCUCAGAAGACAGUUUCUUUCCAGGAGUUCUCAUUCACAGGCGUGUAGUGCACGCCUUUAAUCCCAGCACUCGGGAAGUAGAGACAAUUGGAUCUCUGUGAGUUUGAUUCCAGCCCGGUCUACAGAUCGAGUUCCAGGACAGCCAGGGCUACAUGGAGAAACCCUGUCUCAAAAAAAAAAAAAAAAAAACCAAAAGCCGGCUGGUGGUAGUGGUGAAUGCCUUUAAAUCCCAGCACUCGGGAGGCAGAGGCAGGUGAAUCUCGGUGAGUUCGAGGCCAGCCUGGUCUACAAAGUGAGUUCCAGGACAGCCAGGACUGUUACACAGAGAAACCUUGUCUCAAAAAAAAAAAAAAAGUUAAAAGGUCAAAUGACUUAGCUCAGCCACCAUUUGAAUCUGAGUCUUGGUGACAGUUUUUUUACUCAUGUACUUUAUGCCUCUAAGUACGUAAAUACCACUUCCUGUGUUUUGACUCCAGACACGUUUACCUGGUUUCUAUAUGCUGCCCUCUGCACAGCUGGUCUCUACGAGCAUCCGGCUUGCCCCGUCCUGGAUCUGCAAUUCUUCUCGUUCCUUCAUGGAUCUGAAGGCUCUCCUUUCCUCCUUGAACGACUUUGCAUCCCUCUCCUUUGCUGAGAGUUGGGACAAUGUGGGAUUACUGGUGGAACCGAGCCCUCCCCAUACUGUAAAGACCCUCUUCCUGACCAACGACUUGACGGAGGAGGUCAUGGAGGAGGCUCUGCAAAAGAAGGCGGACCUCAUUCUCUCCUACCAUCCACCGAUCUUCCGGGCCAUGAAGCGCAUAACUUGGAAAACCUGGAAGGAGCGCCUGGUGAUCCGGGCGCUGGAGAACAGGGUCGCCAUCUACUCCCCGCACACGGCCUAUGAUGCCGCACCCCAGGGAGUCAACAGCUGGUUGGCCAAAGGGCUUGGAACUUGCACUGCCAGGCCCAUCCACCCCUCCAAAGCUCCUAACUAUCCCACAGAGGGGGCCCACCGAGUAGAAGUCAGUGUGAACCACACCCAAGACCUGGACAAAGUCGUGUCCGCAGUGAAAGGAAUUGGAGAGGUUUCUGUCACUUCUUUUUCCGCUAGGUGUGAUGACGAGGAACACACACGGAUCAGCCUGAAUUGUACUCAGAAGGCUUUGAUGCAGGUGCUAGCUUUUCUCUCCCAGAACAGACAACUUUAUCAGAAAACUGAAAUUCUGUCACUGGAGAAGCCUUUGCUUCUGAAUACCGGAAUGGGCCGGUUGUGCACCCUGGAUGAACCUGUCUCCCUGGUAACAGUGAUAGAGCGAAUCAAAGGACACCUAAAGCUGGCUCACCUGCGCUUAGCUCUUGGAGUAGGGAAGACCUUGGAGUCUCCAGUCAAAGUUGUGGCCCUGUGUGCUGGUUCUGGGGGCAGCGUUCUACAAGGAGUGGAGGCUGACCUUUACCUCACAGGUGAGAUGUCCCACCAUGAUGUUCUGGAUGCUGUCUCCAAAGGAAUAAAUGUCAUCCUUUGUGAACACAGCAACACCGAACGAGGCUUCCUUUCCGAUCUUCAAGAAAUGCUGGGUGUCCACUUGGAGAAUAAGAUUAAUAUUACCCUGUCUGAGACAGACAGGGACCCUCUUCAUGUGGUUUAAAACACACAAGACGUCAUGGUGACACAAGCCACCUGUCAUUUGGAUGGAAAUAGGACUGUGCGGGAAGAGCUGGUGGUGCUGACAUCCUGCAGAACUGCUCGAUCGACAUCGUUUUUAGUUCCUCAGUCUGGCUCGCUAAUGUUACAGCUCAUGAGCCUAGAGCUGCCUGAGAAGGGGCUCCUAACCGAGGAGAUCACCACACCGCAUCGGCGCCCAGGCCUGUCUGUGGGGGCACCUGUGGAUAACUGAUGCAGGAGGGCCAAGACUACUGUGGGCGGCACAGCCUUAGGCUGUGAGGUGCCUAAGCAUGAGCCUGAGCGAGUCAGCCCAGCAGCAUCUGCCACGGUCUCUGCCUGGACGUCUUCCCUGACUUCCUUCAGUGGUGAACUGGGGCCUGGAAGUGUAAGCCGAACAAAUCCUUUUCUCCCCCAGGUUGCUUUGGAUUACAGUAUUGACCAAACAGCAGAAUCACUGAUAAACUUAGUAGUACAUCCUCAGGUGUACAAAAUGCUUUAUUUUUGAAGAGCCAGGACUGAAUUGAGGGUUUUGUACACGUGAGACAAGUGCUCCCGACCUUCACUCCUGGCCCUUGACCGUGCAGGUUAUUAUCUUUGUAGUAGUGCCGGGAGCUGAACUCAGGGGAGUUAGCAUGCUAGGCAAGUGCUUGACCACUGAGCCACACCGCUAGCCCUCAAUGUGGAUAUAUGGGCAUACAUCUUUAUGUAUGUACAAUGCGUAUACAUGGAUAUAUGUCUUUAUGUAUGUAUAUAAUAUAUAUGUGGAUAUGCAUCUUUAUAUAUAAUGUAUAUAUGUGGGUAUACAUCUUUAUGUGUAUAUAUGGAUAUAUGUCUUUAUGUAUAUAUAAUAUAUAUGGACACACAUCUUUAUGUGUAUAUAUGGAUAUAUGUCUUUAUGUAUAUAUAAUAUAUAUGGAUACAUAUCUUUAUGUGUA